rnacentral:rRNA from 1 species
UACGGAGGGAGCUAGCGUUGUUCGGAAUUACUGGGCGUAAAGCGCACGUAGGCGGCUUUGUAAGUUAGAGGUGAAAGCCCGGGGCUCAACCCCGGAAUUGCCUUUAAGACUGCAUCGCUAGAAUCGUGGAGAGGUGAGUGGAAUUCCGAGUGUAGAGGUGAAAUUCGUAGAUAUUCGGAAGAACACCAGUGGCGAAGGCGACUCACUGGACACGUAUUGACGCUGAGGUGCGAAAGCGUGGGGAGCAAACAGG